rnacentral:lncRNA from 1 species
AAAAGGUUUGAGAGGGAGAAAGGGCGAGACUAACUGCAGCAAAACCCCUGCAAGAGCAAAGAAAUGGAGCCAGAACCUUUCGAAAGCGGCCGGGCGAGCGACCCGCGACUUGCUUGCUCUCAGGGCUGCCGGUGAAGUAGAGGCGACCAGCGGCGGCGUCUCUUCCUCGGCUCCCGCGCCACUUCUUGGGGAGAUGUCGGAUUUAGUUGCAUUUUAAAAAUAGCCAAUUGCAUUAAUCGUUUCUGUGUUUUGGAAACCAUUCGGACAGUGGUUUUAUUUAUUUAUGAAUAACUAACUUGCUAAAAGUGGAUAACGAUUGCUCUCAGGUUUAAUCUACGUUCGGGGAACUGAUUUUUUUUUUUAAAACCAUAGAAACAAGCGGACAGAACGCGCUCCGUAUUUUAAAACUUCAUUUCCAGUUUAACACUUCCCACUGGUCGGGAAUGUUGCACCUCUUUAAAAAAAAAUCUACCAGAGGCUGAGGUGAUCAACUGCCGGCCUGUGUGUUUUUUUUUCCUUUACUUUCUUAGGGGAUCCCACUGAUUAAUCCCCUUGGGAGGAGAAAAAAAGGAACGGAACUUUAAAGGGGAAGGCUUUCAAAAAUCAAAAGCAACUUUCCGCCUUGAAACCCCAAGGCUUAGGUCGAGAAUUUAAAGCUGUAGGAAAGGAAGAGAGGCGCCGUCCCUGCCAUGCGCUCUCUUGCGUAUCCCUGAAUAGGCUCUGUCCGUCCGUCAUAAUUCUUUUAAUAUCAAUUUUGUGGGCAUUUAUUUCAAAAUUAGUAUGGUCAGGAUUCACACGCUCCUUCCUCUGCACACAAAGAACAACAAUGCGUUGGCGAGGAAGGGGUCAAUUUUAAGGAACAGCACAGCGCUUGUGCUUGCUGCUAUUGUUCGUGCUAUCCAAAGGAUGUCAUCUGGAUCUUCUGCCCUGGGCACAAAAUACAUUGGACUGGAGCUGAGGAUAGAUGAGUGUGACAUUUACUUCCUGCUCUGUGGAUUUCUUAACAUUGCCCUUUAAGCAGUGGUCCCAGGCAAGUUUUUAAAUAUUGGGGGGUGGCAGCAGUAUGCUAAAAACCAGUGGCACACACAUACAUGUGCAUGUGUACAAAUGCGCAUGAACAUUUUUUCCCUGGUGUUACAAGCAUGCUGGCACUGGUAAAAAGCUUUUGUAUGAAACAGCUUCCUCUGCCUGUUUAAUGGUCAGCAAACUGAUUUCCUCUUUCCGUUUCUCUCGGUCUAAGAAAGUGGAUGCAAAUAAAACCAUAACUGCAUGUUCUUUUUGCUUAUCU